CCGUAGUUAGAUAUCAAUUGGUUUGAAAGCAACCUGCAAAGGAUGCAACUUAAACCUUUAACUUGUUACCUUGAGAAAAUGGAGGCGCCUAAGGCACGCGAUAUGUGUGAACUAUCUAGCAUGGAAUAGCACAUUUAAACUGUCAAUAAACAUGCCGAAUGUUUGUUGAUUAGGAUGAUUGAUAAGGGCAGUCGGGGACACUUGUACUUGCUGGAGAGAGGUGAAAUUCUGAGACCCGGCAAAGACACUCAAAUGCGAAAGCUUUUGUCCAGAAUGUUCCUGUUAAUCAAGGACUAAAGUUGGGGGAUCGAAGACGAUUAGAUACCGUCGUAGUCCCAACCGUAAACCAUGCCGACUGGUCGUUGGUUAGAAGUCUGUAUUCUUUUCAGCGUUCGAAAGAAAUUGAAGUUUUUGGGCCCUGGGGGGAGUAUGGUUGCAAGACUGAAACUUAAAGGAAUUGACGGAAGGGCACCACCAGGAGUGGAGCUUGCGGCUUAAUUCGACUCAACGCGUGAAAUUUUACCAGGUCCGGACAUAGUUAUGAUUGACAAACUAAAAGAUUUUUCUAAAUUCUAUGGGUGGUGGUGCAUGGCCGUUCUUAGUCGGUGAGGUGACUUGUCUGGUUUAUUCCGAUAACGGACGAGACCUUGACCUUUAAUUCUCGACUGUUAUCUUAAAUGGAAGAGUCUUAAAGGGACUCAAUGUUCCAAACAUUGGGAAGAUCAAGGCAAUAACAGGUCUGUGAUGCCCUUAGAUAACCUGGGCUGCACGUGUGCUACAAUAACAUGCACAACGAGUACCAAUAUCGAAACGAUGUUGUGAAUCUUCAAAGCGUGUUAAGGU
rnacentral:rRNA from 1 species